rnacentral:rRNA from 1 species
UACGUAGGGUGCGAGCGCUGUCCGGAAUUAUUGGGCGUAAAGAGCUCGUAGGCGGUUUGUCGCGUCGACUGUGAAAACCUACAGCUUAACUGUCGGGCUUGCAGUCGAUACGGGCAGACUAGAGUGCGGUAGGGGAGAUUGAAUUCCUGGUGUAGCGGUGGAAUGCGCAGAUAUCAGGAGGAACACCGAUGGCGAAGGCAGAUCUCUGGGCCGUAACUGACGCUGAGGAGCGAAAGCAUGGGGAGCGAACAGG